AUACUUACCUGGCAGGGGAGAUACCAUGAUCACGAAGGUGGUUUCCCCAGGGUGAGGCUCACCCAUUGCACUUUGGUUGUCCUGACCCCUGCGAUUUCCCAAAACAUGGGAAACUCGGCUGCAUAAUUUGUGGUAGUGGGGGACUGCAUUCAUGCUCUCCCCUG